CCUACGGGUGGCAGCAGUGGGGAAUAUUGGGCAAUGGGCGCAAGCCUGACCCAGCAACGCCGCGUGAAGGAAGAAUGCUUUCGGGUUGGAAACUUCUUUUGUCAGGGAAGAGUAGAAGACGGUACCUGACGAAUAAGCCACGGCUAACUACGUGCCAGCAGCCGCGGUAAUACGUAGGUGGCAAGCGUUGUCCGGAUUUACUGGGUGUAAAGGGGGUGUGGGCGGGUUGACAAGUCAGAUGUGAAAUCCUGCGGCUUAACCGCAGAACUGCAUUUGAAAAUGUUGAUCUUGAGUACUGGAGAGGCAGACGGAAUUCGUAGUGUAGCGGGGAAAUGCGUAGAUAUUAGGAGGAACACCAGUGGCGAAGGCGGUCUGCUGGACAGCAACUGACGGUGAGGCGCGAAAGCGUGGGGAGCAAACAGGAUUAGAUACCCGGGUAGUC
rnacentral:rRNA from 1 species